UACGAAGGGGGCUAGCGUUGCUCGGAAUCACUGGGCGUAAAGCGCACGUAGGCGGCUUUCUAAGUCAGAGGUGAAAUCCUGGAGCUCAACUCCAGAACUGCCUUUGAUACUGGAGAGCUUGAGUUCGGGAGAGGUGAGUGGAACUGCGAGUGUAGAGGUGAAAUUCGUAGAUAUUCGCAAGAACACCAGUGGCGAAGGCGGCUCGCUGGCCCGAUACUGACGCUGAGGUGCGAAAGCGUGGGGAGCAAACAGG
rnacentral:rRNA from 1 species